UGAAAGUAAAACAGAAUGGAGGAGGGGGUGGAGCAUUUGGGCUGUCACUUGUGCAAACCUAACUUCUGUGUCGUGUCGACUUACUGCUCAGCACUCCGAGACUGGUCCCAAAAUGUAGUUUCCUGAUCCAGAUGCUGUGCUUCUCUUCUGAGUAAUGGUCCAGCAGGCAGGAUGCUGGGGAUGGCACGGCCAACACAAAACUCUGCUGGAGCAGUGAGCAGGCUGCAGAGUCAGAAAACACACCUGAGAAGUGUUUGUCUGCAGUAUCUGCUGUGUGGGCUUCUGAACAGCCAUUGCUUUUGCCUUUUAAAGAAUGGGAUGGGACUAAUCAUCUUCUUCCUAUGUGCUUAUGUGCCAAAGACAGAAGCAGGUCAUUGCAAGUGGGCAGAGGUUCUGAAAGAUUUGGAAAGGAUCAAGUCAUCCAAAGAUAUUGAUGUCAGUUUAUACACUGCAAAUGCAGAUGAGGAUGAAGAAUGCCAAGAACUUGUAAUGAGGUGCUUUUUCUUAGAGACAGAAGUGAUAAUUCAAGAAUGUCGUAUCAAAAAUUGUAGUAAAACACAGGAUGUAUGGAAUAUAUGGAAAAAUGGGAAUGAAAGCUUAAAAAAAAAUAAGUUGACUUCCACAAAAUCAGAAAAAUGCAAAGAAUGUGAAGAAUAUGAAGAAAAAAAUUUUACAGAAUUUAUACAGAAUUUUGUAAAGGUUAUACAGAGAGAUUGCAAACACUGACCAAAAGAAACAAGCUGAGAAACAAGAUUCUUAUGUUAACACCCUCAGAGAAAUUAGAUUAUCACCAAAAAUAAACCAGAAAAAGAAAAUAAUUUACCAUCCUCUUGGCUAUCUCUAAAUAUACCUGUUUCUAUUGUCAUUUUCAGGCACCUCCAUUUCUCUAUCUUCAGCUGAUAAAUGGCUGAGUCAUUCAGCUGUCCACUUACCAAGAAGGAAGUUUCAAUCUCAUUAUGGCAACAAACACUCUGCCACCUUCUCUUUUAUUGUUGGGAUGCUCCCAACAGUCAAUCUUUAGCACUCUGAGGAGAUGAAUCACCAGUAAACUGCAAGAGGAAGAACAUAAAUGUGAGCAUGUGGGAUGUCAUCUUCCAGGGGACUUGUAGACAAACGGGUUGGAAAAUUCAUAAGCACAUUGAUAUCAGCAUUAAUCACUGGUAAACAUAUCACAAAAGAAAUAAAUUAUUUGCCACCACAAAGCAUAAAAGCCAGAAAUGUUUAUUACAUAGUUUGCAUGAAAUAAAAUGGUCCUAUAUGUUAAUUUUUUCCUUAAUGCAGUGGUAUGCACUGAAUAUGAUUCAGAUUACAACUUUGGUCUUCAGUCAGAGAGAUAAAGGGACUUUCCUUAUUUCUGGCUUUGAGAGGGAAGCACUAUAUUCAUGAUGGGAGAACCAAAGAGCUGCUUUGCUCAGAGUUCUCUUUAUAUUGACCAUUUUGAAAAUCAAUUUCCUGAUUAAUUUAAUUUUCUUUUUCAUUAACCCAUUUACCGGUGGCAAGUAUGUUAAAUACUGUGAAUUUCUUUCCAAAGUAUAUUGCUAAGUCUGUGAGCACUCAGCUUGCCACCCUUUUUUGUUUGUUUGUGGGUUUUUUUAGGUUGUUGGCUUUUUUUCCCAUUUGUUUGUUUGUUUGUUAGGAAAUUCAUAUGUAUUCCAGAGGAAAAGUCUCAAUAUGACUAAAACUUGGACACAUCUGAUCUGACUUGUUAGUCCUGCAGGCAGAACAGUAGAAAUUGAUUCAGAAUGUCUACUUUCAAAGUAAACAUCCCCAGGUUGCAGAAGGUAUUUCUUCUACACAAGGUUGAGUUAUUUGUGUGGCAUUUAAUAGGUAAUAUUUUCCAACUGCUGUUGGCAAAUAUUAAGAAAAAGAUUAAUACUGUAUUUUCCCCAAUGAAUCCUUCUCAGCUAGGGGACUAAGGCGACUCAUAGCAGAGUGUUUCUAUGUACAGAAAGAGCAAUAAAUCUACCUUUGGACACCAGAAGAGAAGAAAAAUGCUCUUCCAUCGAAGUUUUGCACUACGUAGUUCUGUGUUCCUGACUUUGCAAUAAUUUAAAAUCUGCUUUUCCUUUCCACUCUUAGUACUUAGUAUCCACAUUUCAUGUCUAUAUCCUAACAGGAUAAUGCAAGUAGCACUAGUGCAGAUGAUGUCUGACAUCUUCUGCCUUGACAUUUUAUUGGACCCUGAAGAUAAAUAUGAGUUGUUCAUUCAUAGAAUGUUGCCUCUAGUGGCUCCCAAAUGUUCCAGCACCUGUUGAUCAGCUACUCUUCAGAUGAUUUCACAGAUAUUUUAAAUUCUGAACUGCAGACACCUUUCUUGUUAGAACCUUCACUCUUUUGAGGAAAAUAUAGAAGAGGGAAUUCUUUGCCUGCAGUGAGAUAGCUGGGGGAUCAACAGCAGUUUCAGAUUAUCCAUCUUGUUCAUAUGACUAUGUGAGCAAAAUAAUAGUAAAGAAAUGCACUUUUAGAUCAUUUCAGCUCCAUGUGGCAAAAGCUCAGAGAAACAAUGAAUGUUUGAUUCAGGCAGCCCAACAUACAGAGGAAACACAGUGGAGGGCAAACAGUGUAUUUGGAAUCUAUUUAUCUAUAUACAUAUAGAUAGAUAUAUAGAUAAAUAUCAACAGAUAUUCUCCAUGGAUAAAAAAGUGUUUCAGCUGCUUUAACCCUUCAACCAAGGGCUCAGGUUCAAGGGUUAAUAGCACCCAAGGUGGGUAGCUACCACAGAAACCAGAGCAGUGGUUAUCUAGGACACAUGGCCCUAGAUAAUCCCGUCACCACCCAUUCCAACUACAUGAAUUACACAUACAAAUGUUAGUCAGCUCAUUUAUCCAGUCAGCUCAAUCAUAGUUACUGUGAUUCUACCGUCCACUAACCUCAAACUAAGAACCAUGUCAUUCUAAUGAAUCUCUUUCUCUGACUUAAAUCCUUUUCUAGUUUAAUGUGGGCAGGACCACAACAAAAUGAAGCUUUUAAUAUCUAGUUGCAUUUCUCAAAGGAAUAGUGUGAAACAAAUGUUUGGGGAACAUUGUGAUAAUAAAGUAAUCUAAGAUUAGCCUAGCUGUAAUUAUCAGUAACCCCUAUAUCACAAGAUUUGCCCUCAUUACAGUUAUACUGAAAGAUGACUGAGUUGCCAACCCCUUCCUUGUAGUAUCAGAAACACAGGUAAUAUGAAAUAUCUGCUACAGGAAUUAAAACAAAGAAGAGGGAGGAAAAUAAGUGAAAGCCACCUUAAAUAAUAACAGUAAAAGCAAAUUAUUCCAACUCACUGUGAAUCCACCAUAUCUUUCUGAGCAGCAGAAUUCAGCAAGAGCUGGAUGAAAAUAAGGAAAUUUUCCUGCAAUUGGAAAGUCCAUCAGUAAAUUUCGAAGAGUACUUUGCAGAACUGCAGGCAAAUCAUUCAUGUCUUCAUCUUUAUAGGAGCUAAAGGCAGCUUUCUUUGGAGAUUCCCAUCCCCAGUCUCUGAGCCAAGGUCAUGAUAGGAUAUCUUGGCAGGAUUAAGAAUGUAAGAAUGAAUUUGCUGCUCAGAACAAAUGUAUCAAAAUAGAGCAAGAGACACAAAUUUCAUCCUCAAGUCAGUAUUGGUGUUUUUGAGAAUAUAAAUAAUACCAAUUUUUAUCCAAAAUAGCCUUCACUUGCAGUUUAUACAUAUGAAGGCAAAACUUACCAGCAAGAGGAGCAGCAUCACAUGCUGGAAUUUCUGUACAGCAUCAUCAGAUCAACAUGACACUGAGCUGUACUUAAAAUGGACAUUUUGUAAUGUCUAAAGGGUGAUAUCUUCUCUAGAGGCAGAGGAGAAACAAACUUUGCUUGUAUGAAUUCUAUGGAAUUUUAUUCUGAUGCACCUCUGGAGGAAAAGAAACCCAUAAAUGAGCAAGGUAAGCAUUUUUUCCACAAAAAGUUCAAAUCAGCACCUUGAAACUCUCCUUCCAACUAUUUUUCCCCAAGCAAUGUUGGAGAAUUCACCUUUUCUUAUUAAAAGGCUUAAUUAAGACAAUAAUUAACAACUUAAAUAAAGACAAAAGGAAAUAAGUAUGUUUCAUAGCCAUACCCUCUUCAACAUGCUUAAUAAAUGUAUUUUCUUGACCAAGUCAAGCCAACCAGGAAUCAACUGGCUUUGUAAAAAUGGGGGUAAAGAUGAGGCAGUACAAUAAAAAAUGAAACAAUAUUCUGGGAUGACAGACUUAUCUGUGCCAUGACAUAAGCAGCUCACUACCUCUAAAAGUUAAAAACACAUAGGAGAAAAAGGAAUGAAGUUAGAACCUAGAAAAGAAGUCAGGGGGUUUUCUGGGAACUUUCUUGAGAAAUACCAAAGCCAAAAAAACUCUCAUUUUAACUUUAACAUAGAAAUUAGUAUCUUAUACUAGUUUUCUUCCUUCUGAGUCCUCAACCAUACAAACUUUUCCCCCUUUUUUCUUUUCAUAGUGAGACUCAACAUUUCUCAGGGCUUUCCUCUUCUGUAUAUAUAGAACUGUUUAUAAUGAACUAUUUUUACAAGUUUUAGUAGAGGAAAACAAAGAACUGCAGGAUGUCAAGAUGCUUUCUUGAAAUUAAAUUUUAAAAUAGAUUGACAGUGCUGCUGAAAGAACUUUUAUUAGACCCCAACACUGUAAUUUGUUGUGAUGUGAACAAAAGCCAUUGGCUUGUGGCUUUGUUUAUUUAAUGCCUUUAAGUAGGAAGCAAUUGUAUUGAGCUUUUCAAGAUGAAAUACUGAAGGUCAAUAAUCCUUACAGAACCUUAAAGCUGCUCUACCACACAUGACAAACUUUAGUAACUGACAAAAGAGAAUUUAGGAGAAAUUUAAAAUACAUCAUGGGAAUAUGACACAAACAAUGAUAAUAUUAAUUGAAAGAGUGUACCUGUGCCACAGUUAAAACUGAGAAAUCGUUCUUUUCAAAAGUUGCCUUCCCCAGUUCUUCUAAGAGUCACAUAUGUCCUGCAGUUACCUGGGAAUCUAUAGUCUUGCAGUAAUACAGGACAUUUUUAGUAAUCCCAGUUUGGGGGACUUUUGAGCCAUUGGUUUCCCAAUGAGCGAAAAUUUUCUCUAUCAAGAAAAGAAAAAAAAUCUUAUGUUUCUUAUGAUUGAUAGAAUCUACUGUUUUUCAGUAGAGUACUGAGUAGCCAGACCACAGUUUUGGUCAAUCUCAAGGCAUUCAGAUGAGUUUAUUCAGUCAGUAGUACAUGGAACUCCCCAAUCCUCUGAGGCAGUGGUACUGAAUAGCAGGUGUUAAUCAUAAUCCUUUAUGACAACUGUAAAUUUCUUCUCCUCAUUAACCUUAAUUGUAGCUUUUUACAUCCUAUUUUCCAAGAAUCUUUUUUUUUUCUUUUAUUAUUUGAAGAUAACCAAUGAGGUUUAUAUUUCCUUUGGUUGUUCCUUUGGCAAGCAUGCUAUAACUAACUCAAAGAAAAUUAGAUUAUUAUGAAUAAUUCCUGCAACUUUUUCUCUAACAAGCUUCCUGCUUUCAUGCACCAUUUGACAUUUUAAAGUUUUAACUGAACUCUUCAGACAACAUUUAUCCCUCUUAUAUUUCCUACUGCAGACCAGUGACCAGGCUUUAUUUUACCCCAGACAAUCUUCCUAGGAGUAGGUAUCAGUCAUUUGGAUAAGUUAACUUAACCAAAAUCCCGUGGCUGUACUGUAGUUUUAUCACAUCACAUAAAUCCUUUUUAGGACCUCAUCCUCCAGUAUUUUAUACCACUAAUAAAUUAUGAAGAUCUAUCUGGGGCAACUCAGACAGAAUUCAUUGAAUUUCUGAAGUUGUUUGUAAGUUUUAAAUUCUCCAGCUAUAACAGAUAAGAUGCAGAUGUUAAACAUUGGCUUAAAGACCUAAAGAGGUUUUUUUUUUUUGUCAGUUUUAUGUCUUUUUUCCCCAUCAUGACCUUCUUCUGAAAGCACUGAUAAUUCAGGAGAGUCUGUGACAUUUUUCAGCACUGGUGAAGGAACCUCAAGCAGACAAACUUCCACAAAGCAGGCAUCAAUUGUGUCAGAGCUGGGACAUAAGCUUCCCUAGAUAAGUGCCUGUGGAGGGUCUCAGUUACCUGGUGAAUGACAGUAAGUUAAGCUGUGGAAAUGAUGCCUUGUCCUCCUCAAUGCAAAGGACAUUGCACCAUCACCAGCAGCCAGGCUCUUUGGAAACAGUUCUUGAGAAGCCAUAAUUUCUGUCUCUGUGCAGUAGAGCUCCUGGAAGGUCACUACCAGCCACAUAAGGUGGUGAUAGCUGUGAGAAUAUCGUGGAACAUGGUGGUUAUACAGAUAAUUUUUUUCUAGGAAAGCUGCCUUGAAAUAAAAAUUUCAAAGUUGUGUUUUCUGGAUUUUAUCAAAGGCCUCUAUGCCUAUAAAAAUAAAAAGAAAGGGUAGGGAGGCUAACAGGCAAAGCACAGCCUAUUUGGGCUUGGCCACAUGAAUUUAUGAGUCUGCAUUUAGUCCCAGAAAACAAGGAAUAAUUUUAAGCUGCAUUGACAUAGAGGGACAGGACAAAACUAAUAGCAUUGCUGAGAAAUAUGCUAUAAGGAGUCACAAGGAGAGGAUGAAGGCACAGAAAGUAUUCUUUUCCCUUCUGGUCCUUAAAGUUAUUCCAACCACUAAAUAUUAAAGUUGACAAUAUUUUGAAUUUAACACUCAGAUAUCUGUGACUCCUCUCACUAAGCUGUUACCUACAUAUUCCAAGCCUGCACACCAUGACCAACUCAAGGAGUCCUGUAUAUUGAAAGCAGAACAUCCUUUUUUCAUUUCAAGUGCAAACCACCUCAGCAAUGGUAAUAUCUAGCAUCUAAAGUACUCUGUAACCAUAACAAUCAUCCAAACCCUGGAAAACUGAGGAAGAAUAACACACAGCUGUUUUCUUAGCUGCAUAACAUGCCCAUGAAUGCUGAGACUAACAAAUCUCAAUAUUUACUGUUUACAACGCCAACCCAUGCUGGGAAUACUUUUGUUUAUUAAUGAUAGAAAAUAAGGUCUGCCUUAACCUUCCUACUUUCUUGCUCCAUGGUAAAAAGCACUGUAUGUGCUUCCUUCUACUGCCCUUUUCUCUUUAAGGGAGUUACACUGCACAGCAGUUAGGACAUGGGGAUGUGUGUUGUAACUUGAACACUGCAGCUAGACAAUAUUUCUGCAAAGAAAAGGUAUUUACUUCCAACAAUAUUCACUCACAGUUGUAACUACAACAAAAAUAUUUCAAGAGAGAUCAGAAAUCUAAUCAGGCUUAAUAUCAUUAUUAGCUGUUUUCUGAUUUGUGAGCAGAUCUGCAAUUUAUUUUUUUACCUGAAAAUAUUUUCUACCAGAAACAUAUUGCAUCUUCAGAAACAGAGUCUGAAGCAACUUCUUAAGCUGCAGGUUUAUUAUAAGUUUACUGAUGGUACUGUAAAAAGAGAAUAAAAACUAUUUGUCAAAAAUCAUGCAGUGAAGUAGUUUGCAUUUUUUGCAGUUCCUAGGAAAAUACCUUGUGGCAUACUAGCACAUAUAAAGAGUAUAUAGAUUACAUUCUCAAACUUUCUUAGGACUUGAGGGAAAUUUACAGUGGUUUUUAUUCUAUACUCCAAAAAGGAUUAUUGUAAUUUUUAACUUUCACUAUCUUUAAACAAACAAGCAAACAAACAAACAAAC